rnacentral:rRNA from 1 species
AAUGGGUCAGCGACUUAUAUUCUGUAGCAAGGUUAACCGAAUAGGGGAGCCGAAGGGAAACCGAGUCUUAACUGGGCGUUAAGUUGCAGGGUAUAGACCCGAAACCCGGUGAUCUAGCCAUGGGCAGGUUGAAGGUUGGGUAACACUAACUGGAGGACCGAACCGACUAAUGUUGAAAAAUUAGCGGAUGACUUGUGGCUGGGGGUGAAAGGCCAAUCAAACCGGGAGAUAGCUGGUUCUCCCCGAAAGCUAUUUAGGUAGCGCCUCGUGAAUUCAUCUCCGGGGGUAGAGCACUGUUUCGGCAAGGGGGUCAUCCCGACUUACCAACCCGAUGCAAACUGCGAAUACCGGAGAAUGUUAUCACGGGAGACACACGGCGGGUGCUAACGUCCGUCGUGAAGAGGGAAACAACCCAGACCGCCAGCUAAGGUCCCAAAGUCAUGGUUAAGUGGGAAACGAUGUGGGAAGGCCCAGACAGCCAGGAUGUUGGCUUAGAAGCAGCCAUCAUUUAAAGAAAGCGUAAUAGCUCACUGGUCGAGUCGGCCUGCGCGGAAGAUGUAACGGGGCUAAACCAUGCACCGAAGCUGCGGCAGCGACACUAUGUGUUGUUGGGUAGGGGAGCGUUCUGUAAGCCUGUGAAGGUGUACUGUGAGGUAUGCUGGAGGUAUCAGAAGUGCGAAUGCUGACAUAAGUAACGAUAAAGCGGGUGAAAAGCCCGCUCGCCGGAAGACCAAGGGUUCCUGUCCAACGUUAAUCGGGGCAGGGUGAGUCGACCCCUAAGGCGAGGCCGAAAGGCGUAGUCGAUGGGAAACAGGUUAAUAUUCCUGUACUUGGUGUUACUGCGAAGGGGGGACGGAGAAGGCUAUGUUGGCCGGGCGACGGUUGUCCCGGUUUAAGCGUGUAGGCUGAUUUUCCAGGCAAAUCCGGAAAAUCAAGGCUGAGGCGUGAUGACGA